GACGAACCGUGCGAACGUUGUUCGGAUUCACUGGGCUUAAAGGGCGCGUAGGCGGCUUGCCAAGUCAGGGGUGAAAUCUUUCGGCUCAACCGGAAAAGUGCUUCUGAUACUGGCGGGCUGGAGGAGGGUAGGGGCAGAUGGAACUUCCGGUGGAGCGGUGAAAUGCGUAGAUAUCGGAAGGAACACCGAUGGCGAAGGCAAUCCCCUGGGCCUGCACUGACGCUCAUGCACGAAAGCGUGGGGAGCAAACAGG
rnacentral:rRNA from 1 species